rnacentral:rRNA from 1 species
AUUGAUCGCUGGCGGCAGGCCUAACACAUGCACGUCGCACGAGUGGCGGACGGGUGAGUAAUGUCUGGGAAACUGCCUGAUGGAGGGGGAUAACUACUGGAAACGGUAGAUAAUACCGCAUACCAUCGGAGGUGCCCAGAUGGGAUUAGCUAGUAGGUGGGGUAAAGGCUCACAUAGGCGACGAUCCCUAGCUGGUCUGAGAGGAUGACGAGCCACACUCGAACUGAGACACGGUCCAGACUCCUACGGGAGGCAUCAGUGGGGAAUAUUGCACAAUGGGCGCAAGCCUGAUGCAGCCAUGCCGCGUGUAUGAAGAAGGCCUUCGGGUUGUAGAGUACUUUCAGCGGGGAGGCGUUACCCGCAGAAGAAGCACCGGCUAACUCCGAGCCAGCAGCCGCGGUAAUUC